rnacentral:rRNA from 1 species
CCUACGGGCUGCACCAGUGGGGAAUAUUGCACAAUGGGCGCAAGCCUGAUGCAGCCAUGCCGCGUGUGUGAAGAAGGCCUUCGGGUUGUAAAGCACUUUCAGCGGGGAGGAAGGCGUUAAGGUUAAUAACCUUGUCGAUUGACGUUACCCGCAGAAGAAGCACCGGCUAACUCCGUGCCAGCAGCCGCGGUAAUACGGAGGGUGCAAGCGUUAAUCGGAAUUACUGGGCGUAAAGCGCACGCAGGCGGUCUGUCAAGUCGGAUGUGAAAUCCCCGGGCUCAACCUGGGAACUGCAUUCGAAACUGGCAGGCUGGAGUCUUGUAGAGGGGGGUAGAAUUUCAGGUGUAGCGGUGAAAUGCGUAGAGAUCUGAAGGAAUACCAGUGGCGAAGGCGGCCCCCUGGACAAAGACUGACGCUCAGAUGCGAAAGCGUGGGGAGCAAACAGGAUUAGAUACCCGCGUAGUC